rnacentral:antisense_RNA from 1 species
CUCUUUGGUUCCCCCUGUGGCUGCUGCGGGGCUGCGGGGCUGCGGGGCUGCGGGGCUGCGGGGCUGCGGGGCUGCGGGGCUGCGGGGCUGCGGGGCUGCGGGGCUGCGGGCGGUGGGAGAUGACGGGGGUGGGAGCGGGAGCGGGAGCAGGGGCGGGAGCGGGAGCGGGAGUGGGAGUGCUCAGCCUCUCGGGUCGCCUGGAUAUUUAUGAAAAGGACGCCAGGGAAAGGGCUCCGCUGUAGACCGAAGGGAUAAGGGUUCGAUUCGGAAGGGAGCGUUAUUUUUAUCCCCUCUCCACAUAAUGGAACGUUUAAAUGGUUAAAUCAAGUACCUUGCAGGAGAGGGUGGGGUGGCCUUGAGAAUACACUCAAGGCCUCAGUACAUGCAGUCUGGAAGUGGGGGAAUCAAGAGCACCCUGUCUCUAGUACUGUCCUCAAUGAUAAGGCGCUGAGGUUCCCAACCUGGACCAAGAAGUACAUAUUCAGGUUCAAAGGGUAAACCAAAACAAAACCUGAGCUCUCUCUCUAGAAUGAAGUGCCUGGUCCCAGUUCACCAUCUAAUAUUUAUGGAAAGCUUAUCAGAGAACAGAAGUGUCAGCAGAGGACUGUAAGUGCUAUGUGAUUGGACGAUGGUGGCCAUAGAAUUUCACCUGCCCAGCACGUAUUCUCUCAUCCUCUCCUCCUCUGCCUUCUUUGGGAGGGAGAAAUCAGAAGGAGUGGGGAUGCAGUUCAGAGAGCAGAGGAGAAGAGAAGAAAAGAAGGAAGAAGGAAGAGGACUAGGGUUGGGUGAGGGGGGAGGACACCAAUGGGAAGAGGGACAGAUCAACUCUAUACACAAAAGUAAAUCAAAACACCAAAAACAGGGGUCUAUGUAAAGAAGCCUCUUCCCGUGAAUUGCUCGUUGCAUAGCUGCAGGGAGGGUGUUUAGGGGCAUAGAGAAUGAAAACAUACCUGUAUUUUGGUGUAGGGAAAUUGUUUCUGUCAAUUCACACCGUCCACACACCACCUCCCACCCCAACCCCGCCACUACCAAAUUCCUCUAAAUAAAAAUAAUUAUGAGAUACAGGCCAACAAAAACGUCAGCGUUAGGCUGUUAUUUAGAGAGAAUUGGAAAGCGUUUGAAUGUGGCCCUGUUGUUUAAUAAACGAUAACAAUGAUUA